ACUCAGGUAUCGUAAGAUGCAAGAGUUCGAAUCUCUUCGCAACCAGGUUGUGUGGCCGAGCGGUCUAAGGCGCCUGAUUCAAGA
rnacentral:tRNA from 1 species